GGGCGAUUAGUUAUGGCAUAACUUCGGUCUCCAAACCGCGGUCGGGGGUUCGAUUCCCUCAUUGCCCGCCA
rnacentral:tRNA from 1 species